GUGCUCGCUUCAGCAGCAUAUACACUAAAAUUGGAGUGAUGCAGAGAAGAUUAGUGUGGCCCCUGAGCAAGGAUGACACACAGAUUUGUGAAGUGUUCCAUAUUUUU
ensembl:snRNA U6 U6 spliceosomal RNA